rnacentral:rRNA from 1 species
GACGAACGCUGGCGGCGUGCUUAACACAUGCAAGUCGAACGGAAAGGCCCUGCUUUUGUGGGGUGCUCGAGUGGCGAACGGGUGAGUAACACGUGAGUAACCUGCCCUUGACUUUGGGAUAACUUCAGGAAACUGGGGCUAAUACCGGAUAGGAGCUCCUGCUGCAUGGUGGGGGUUGGAAAGUUUCGGCGGUUGGGGUUGGACUCGCGGCUUAUCAGCUUGUUGGUGGGGUAGUGGCUUACCAAGGCUUUGACGGGUAGCCGGCCUGAGAGGGUGACCGGCCACAUUGGGACUGCGAUACGGCCCAGACUCCUACGGGAGGCAGCAGUGGGGAAUAUUGCACAAUGGGCGGAAGCCUGAUGCAGCAACGCCGCGUGCGGGAUGACGGCCUUCGGGUUGUAAACCGCUUUCGCCUGUGACGAAGCGUGAGUGACGGUAAUGGGUAAAGAAGCACCGGCUAACUACGUG